AGAAGGCUGUGUAUACUCUGAAUUAGCAUCCAACAUAUGGUACUGUUUCUCCCAUAGCCAGGAUUCACGGGUCCAGAAAUCAACGGGUGGAAGUGGAAGUGGCACCACUCACCAUCACCCCUAGUGACCCACUAGCAAAAUUUUUGCUUCUUGUUCCUGCAACAUUAUGUUCUGCUGGCCUAGAUGUCUUAGAUUCCAGAGGGAGGAAUGCUGCCACCAGGAGACACAACAAUGAUUCCACUAAACUGGAAGUUAAGAUUGCCACCUAAACACUUUGGGCUCUUCCUACCUUUAAGUCAACAGCCUAAGAAGGGAGUUAAUGUGUUGGCUGGGGUGAUUGACCUGGACUAUCAAGAUGAAAUCAGUCUACUACUCCACAAUGGAGAGAUGAAGUUUCCAUUAUGUUACCCAGGAUGGCCUCGAACUCCUGGGCUCAGGUGAUCCUCUCACCUCAGCCUCUGGAGUGGCUGGGACAGUGCUGGGCUCUGUACUUCAAUUUUUGAAGAACCUGGGAGAAUCAAGACUCAAAUGACUGAUCUUUUGAAAUUAAAUGAUCCUUUUGGUUCCCUUCAUCUCUAAACUCUGAUUUUGUAACUUAAAUAAUGUUGUCUUAUCUGUCUCUUGUUUGUCAUUUUGUAUUUCUAACCCAUGGUUGACCUGUCACUGAUUAAAGUUCCUGAUGUACUACAA